rnacentral:rRNA from 1 species
AGUGAACGCUGGCGGUAGGCCUAACACAUGCAAGUCGAACGGCAGCACAGUAAGAGCUUGCUCUUACGGGUGGCGAGUGGCGGACGGGUGAGGAAUACAUCGGAAUCUACUUUUUCGUGGGGGAUAACGUAGGGAAACUUACGCUAAUACCGCAUACGACCUACGGGUGAAAGCAGGGGAUCUUCGGAUCUUGCGCGAUUGAAUGAGCCGAUGUCGGAUUAGCUAGUUGGCGGGGUAAAGGCCCACCAAGGCGACGAUCCGUAGCUGGUCUGAGAGGAUGAUCAGCCACACUGGAACUGAGACACGGUCCAGACUCCUACGGGAGGCAGCAGUGGGGAAUAUUGGACAAUGGGCGCAAGCCUGAUCCAGCCAGACCGCGUGGGUGAAGAAGGCCUUCGGGUUGUAAAGCCCUUUUGUUGGGAAAGAAAAGCAGCAGGUUAAUACCCCGCUGUUCUGACGGUACCCAAAGAAUAAGCACCGGCUAACUUCGUG